UACAGAGGGUGCAAGCGUUGUUCGGAAUUAUUGGGCGUAAAGGGCGCGUAGGCGGUGCGGUAAGUCUGUAGUGAAAUCUCUGGGCUCAACUCAGAGUCUGCUGCAGAAACUGCCGUGCUUGAGUGUGGGAGAGGUGAGUGGAAUUCCCGGUGUAGCGGUGAAAUGCGUAGAUAUCAGGAAGAACACCCGUGGCGAAGGCGGCUCUCUGGAACGCAACUGACGCUGAGACGCGAAAGCGUGGGGAGCAAACAGG
rnacentral:rRNA from 1 species